CUCACUUCUCGGUCUUUUGGCUAACAUCAAGUGUAGUAUCUGUUCUUAUCAGUUUAAAAUAAGCAGUACUGUACACUGAAAAGCAGUGUAACUUAGCUUCAAAUGUUUCAAUAUUGAACAGUGAGAAUAUAUUAAUUUUUUAAUCUAAUUAGUUCACAGAAUGAAAAGAUUCUGUAUUCCUC